rnacentral:rRNA from 1 species
UACGUAGGGGGCAAGCGUUGUCCGGAAUCAUUGGGCGUAAAGCGCGUGUAGGCGGUCCGGUAAGUCCGCUGUGAAAGUCGAGGGCUCAACCCUCGAAUGCCGGUGGAUACUGUCGGGCUUGAGUACGGGAGAGGCGAGUGGAAUUCCUGGUGUAGCGGUGAAAUGCGCAGAUAUCAGGAGGAACACCAGCGGCGAAGGCGGCACUCUGGGCUGGUACUGACGCUGAGGAGCGAAAGCGUGGGUAGCAAACAGG